GGCCGCCCACCAGCACCGGCAGGUAGCUUUCGCCAGGGCCAUUGCCUACUCCGUGUGCCCCCCGCCGUGCCGACCCCCUCCUCCAUGGCGGCGCCUUUGUCCCCGACGACACCCAGCAGCGGCCCACUCCCGGUAUACCCUCCCCCUUUUCUCUCUCUCUCCCCCCCUCUCUCUCUCUCUCGUCGGUUCUUGGAUCGAGGAGACGCCCUUGCUCGCUCCUGAUUUGAUUUGCUCAUUCCCGUGGGUGUCGCGGUUUUUGAUGUUCAGGCAUCCCGGAGAAGGCAGCGGCUGCCAAGAAGAAGAAUGCGGCGACCAUCUACUACGUCGUGUAAGAUCUGCUCUCCCAUGAACUAAAACGAUGGGGUAAUCUUGCUAGCCAGGUUUCUUGGCUGCUUGUCUUGAAUCAAUUAGAUGAAUUCUGAUUGAUUUCAUUCCCCUUCGAAAAAUCCUGAUUAGUUUCUUGGUUCCGUUGUCUGUUGGCUGCAAUAGGACGCACUCUCAGAUAACCCAGGUGGUCCGGGAGCUGCGCCAAGAUGAUGGCCAUCUUGGUAGCUAAAAUGUUACCAUCUCAGUGCAUUCCCUGCCUCUUUUUUCUCAUUCAGAAAAGGAAAUGCAUUAUCCAACCAAUGUCAUGUAGCAGUGGCAGAAAUGACAACGGCUCGUCUCAGUGCAUUCCCUGCCUCUCAGAUAACCCAGAAUUGUCAGGAGAGCAAUGGACAUUGAUAUCACUGGCUCAAUUGUUAUUCUUGAUGAAGCGCAGUAAGCCCCUGAGUCUCCAGACCAAUUAUUCUAUUUCAGUGUCCAUCAAUGGUUUCCUUAGUUGCAAGACAACGGCUCCCCAUGUUACCGAUCCGGUGUUGCUGUGCAUGAGGACAUGGGGAAGGUGUAACAAGGCAGCGCUUGUGUUGCAGUGGAGUGGAGUCAGCCAUCUGGAUGUUUGCAGAUCAGCCGAAGAAGAGAGGAAGGAUCUUGAGGAAGAGUCAAGAACAAGGUGAACAUCUUGCCCGUCGCAACCCGACGGCUGAGGCGGCAAUGAGCAGCGCCCAGCUGGAAGAGGAUGUCAACCUUGAUAGUGCUGCUCUUGAUUAUUUGCUUUAUGUUUUUGAUUGAGCCGAGCGAGGAGAACCAACACUAUUUAGCUUUUGGGGUCUCUGUUUCAAAUGACUCGACGUGGCCUUGGCGACACUGGCUUGUAUAGGAAGAGGAUGCUGAUGACUCCUGCUAGAGAGCUCAUCGACGACUGCAACAAGCAGUCCCAAGGGAAAAGGAGCGAUCACCCCACCGAAUGUUUUUCAUCGAUCUGGGGGAGGAGCUGGACCGAACGAUUCGCCCCAGGCCCCCACGCGAACAGUUGCCCCUGCAGGCAAAAACAAAACUUUGACUAGGCCUUUACAGCCUCCAAUUAGGCUAAAAAAUGGCCCUGUUUAUUGUGACGCCUCAACACUUGGAUCAUCGCUCGAGGUUAUCGCUUUUGAGUUUCAGGUGAUAGGUUCUUUUUAAUUGAUUUUUUGGAAAUCAUGAUGCUAAAUAUAUGGAUUAUGUUUCAUGUGUCUCUCCUAUUGCCUUUUUACUAUAUGAUUAAAAUCCAUACCUGACAACAAACAUUCUUAAACAGAUCCAUUUAUCAAGGAUGACUCUGCUUGAUGUCGCCGCAUACCAGCAGAAGAUAAAGCUCAGCCAUAGACUGGAAGACUGGGGCUAUAUAGAUUGCUUUCUAAAACCAAUGCAGAUCACCCUGCUGAAGAAGAAGGAGAGGAAGUUAGAAAUCAGUUUUCAGUUUUACAGGUGCAAAAUCAACUCAUUCCACUGUAAUACUGGACAUCCAGAUGUCCAGGAUGUCGGAAGCAUCGGCGUUGCAUUCAUGAAUCUGACAUACACAUAUAAUCUGCAUGGUGCUACUUAAAAUUUAUGAAUGGUUUGUCGGCAUGUUACUGGGAUUUAGAGGCAGAAACGUCUUACUC